rnacentral:rRNA from 1 species
AUUGAACGCUGGCGGAAUGCUUUACACAUGCAAGUCGAACGGUAGAGGGGGCAACCCCUCGAGAGUGGCGAACGGGUGAGUAAUAUAUCGGAAUGUGCCCAGUCGUGGGGGAUAACGUAGCGAAAGUUACGCUAAUACCGCAUACGAUCUAAGGAUGAAAGCGGGGGAUCGCAAGACCUCGCGCGAUUGGAGCGGCCGAUAUCGGAUUAGGUAGUUGGUGGGGUAAAGGCUCACCAAGCCAACGAUCUGUAGCUGGUCUGAGAGGACGACCAGCCACACUGGAACUGAGACACGGUCCAGACUCCUACGGGAGGCAGCAGUGGGGAAUUUUGGACAAUGGACGCAAGUCUGAUCCAGCCAUUCCGCGUGCAGGAUGAAGGCCCACGGGUUGUAAACCUCUGUCACUGGGGAAGAAACGCUUCAAGUUAACAGCUUGAAGCCUGACUUAACCCGGAGAGGAAGCAGUGGCUAACUCUGUGCCAGCCGCCGCAGUAA